rnacentral:lncRNA from 10 species
AUGCUUCCACCCUCAUCCCCACCCCCGCUAACGCAGUCUGUUCCCAACAGAGCACCCAGAACGAUUUCCUUAGAACGUAAAUCAGACCAUGUCACUUUUCUGCGCAAUUUUCCAGUGGUCCCCAUCUCUCUCAGAGGACACUCCAAAUUCUUUUCGUGGCCCCCAGGGCCCUAACUGAUGCUCCCACCUUGCCCCUCAGCAUUUCACUUGGGUGUGCCUAGAGCACAGCAGGCGUGUUCCUGCCUCACGGUGCUGGCGUGCAGCCCUCUUUGUCUAGAUUCUCCAUGGCUUGUCUGUCACACUGUGUCUGGAAUUGGUGGGUUCUUGGUCUCACUGACUAAGAAUGAAGCCGCGGACCCUCGCGGUGAGUGCUACAGUUCUUAAAGGCGGCGUGUCUGGAGUUUGUUCCUUCUGAUGUUAAGAUGUGUUCGGAGUUUCUUCCUUCUGGUGGGUUCGUGGUCUCACUGGCUCAGGACUGAAGCUACAGACCUUCGUGCGUGUCAGAUUCCAUGCCACCCAUGUGAUGUUACUCAAUGGAAAACUGGGAAGACUUCACAGUAACACACCAUUAUGUGUCAUUUCCAUCACACAGAUACAGACAUUGGAACCCUGAUCCGCAAAGAUGAUAGCAGUUCUGCUUGGUUCCUGUCUGAGCCUGGAUCUGGAUCUGGGAGGUGCUGGCGGGGUCCUGUUCUUCCGCUCUGGUGGGAAUCUGAUUGUGAUCAGCAUUGGGCCGCAUGCCAGAGACGGCUGCAGUCCUGUGCCUGGCCUGGCCGGCCUCGGUGCUACCCGCCACCCCUCACGUCUUCCCUUCUGGCUCCUUGUACGUCACUGGUCAGUCCGCGAACCCUGACUCUCCAUCAGUGAGCUGUGUGGCACUGGGCAAGCCUCUGCCCUUCUCUACUUCCCAGGGUACAGAGUGAGCUUCCACCUUUUGGCUUGAUUCUCCUUCACAUCUUGCCCACCCAGGCUUCUGACCGAAUCUAGCAGCUCAAGUCAAAUUCAGCUGGAAAUUGGCUGCUGAAGAAGCUGUCUUUCACCCUCUAUAACUGAGGACUUACUGUUCCUAACUGUUGCUAAGUGGGGGCUGUUUUCUUUGAGGGAGUUUUUUCUUCUUUAGCAAUUUUAUAUAUAAAAUAACAAAUGCAAAGUAUGUAUUAUGAGACAUGCUAACAAAAUGAACAUCUGUGAACCCACUACCCCAUCUAAGAAUUAGAACAUUAUCAACAGGGUUGUAUGUGCCUAUGUGUUCUUUCCUGUUCUGUAUGCCUGUCUCCCUUGAAGAGAUAGCUAUUACCCUGAGUUUUGGUGUUUGUUAUUUCCUUGCUUUAAAAAAGUAGCUUCAUCGGCCGGGCGUGAUCCCAGCGCUUUGGGAGGCUGAGGCGGGUGGAUCACCUGAG